AGCUCCAAUAGCGUAUACUAAUGUUGUUGCAGUUAAAAAGCUCGUAGUCGGAUUUCAGGUUUGUUUUAGUAUGCUUUUAUAAGCUUGUUAACACAAAUCUUCUUUAACAGAAGGGUAUUUGGCAUUGAUUUGCUGAGUUCUUCAACUGUUUCUUUUACUUUGAGAAAAUUAGAGUGUUCAAAGCAGGUUUCUUGCCUGAAUAUUACUCUUGGAAUAAUAAUAUAGGACUCUGGUUCUAGUUUGUUGGUUUACUGGUGCCGGAGUAAUGAUUAAUAGCGACGGUUGGGGUCAUUCGUACUGCAAAGCGAGAGGUGAAAUUCUUGGACCUUUGUAUGACGAACAACUGCGAAAGCAUUUGACUAGGACGUUCGCGUUGAUCAAGAACGAAAGU
rnacentral:rRNA from 1 species